GGUAUUUUCCUGGAAAUCUGUGUGUACCUGAGGUCUCCUGAAGUUUUAAUUUUGUCUGAGAAGUCCCAGGAAAUGUAACACAUUUGGUUUGAACACUUAAUUGUGAAAGCAAGACUGUAAAAACCAACUUCCAUGACUCCAUGUCGUUGUUGGCUGAAACUACAUUGAAAGUUCUGCUGCCAACUGCCUAACAAAGACUGUCUAACUUAUUCUCCAAGUCACGUUAAGACAGUGAAGAGAAACAGGCAGAGGGGAGCAUGCACCCAAAAUUUGCUUCCAAUCAAUUCAAAUGGUGUAUAACAGCUCUGGGUAUCUGUCUUUGCUUUUUGUGUUGUAUGGCUGCUGAUAAUUCUACCAUGGAGUGCCAAGUGGCUAUUGGUCCCUUUAACUGUAAUCUUCCUGAAGAGAAUAUCAUUUCUGCAAAUAACUCCUUAUCUUAUGUUUACAGAGAAAGUGUCAGCCAGAAAAAAGGUGAAAAAAGGAAACAAUGAACUCUCCCUCCACAUCUGAACACCAUACAUAGACUAAGACAUUCCUAUUUCUGUGGGAGUAAUGCACCACUUGCUCUCCCUUUCACAAAUGUUGGUAGAUAGUGUUAUCAAAACAAGUUGGGUUUUUUUGUUUGGGUUUUUUGUACAUAUUUCAAUUAGAAUUGUGAGCCUUGAUUGCUGUGAAUUAUAACUUAAGAGUACUGAAAAAGGGAAGGUUUCACAAGGUCUCAGUGUAGCUGUUUUUUCACCUUAAAAGUAGAUAGCUGUACCCAUUUAUGUCUAAGAGGAAAAAACUCCUUGCUGCUGUUCUUGGCUUUCUGUGUAGGUAUACACAGGAAAAACAGUGGGUUACCUUUUAAGUCUAUCUAUUGUACUAUAUUUCUAAUCAGAUAUUACUGAUAAAAUAAACUCAGUUAAACUGCUUUUCUUAAAUUAUUAUAAAGCAUUAUCUAAGUACAUGGAUUUGGUACACAUGGCUGAAAGUAGCCCUGGUCUAAUUUUAAUUAAUCUAUAAAUGCAUUGUAUUUGGACUCAGCUUUCAGAGUGCUCUCUUGCUGACUCAUCCUUAAUCCAGUACUUUUUCUAUUGGUCAUAGUGCUAUCAUUAUUCUCUGCCUGUUUGGCUAAAAGACAUGAUGUAUUUACAGUAGAGUUGCUGUGAGUGAGAUGAUGGGCAAGCUGGCUGAGAAUGUAUUAAUUACUUAAGCAAAUCAGGACCGUGGCAGAGGAAAAGCAUGUGGAAAUCUAGAAAGCUUUUACUAUGCUAACUGAGGAUGGAAAUCGCCACAGGCAGGAAGAAUUUUGACAUCAUUUGUAUAUGCUUUGGGUUCUUUUCAUGCUUUAGCUCCUUGCAGGAGUAAAAAGCUGAGUUCUUACUUGAAGUUUUACACUAUUACUUCUAAUCUGCAAAGGUGGUCAAAUCAAUCUAUCUGCGUCAUCCAGAACAGGCAUCAAACUUCAAUCACUGACUUCUAACUUUCUUAAGCUUUCUGCCAAUGCAUUUAUGGAAGAAGAGCAUUAAAGCUGACAUGUUUCUAAAGCAGAUGAAAAUCAGGGUUAGGAUGUUUGAAAUGGCUUCAUUUUUAAGCAAGCACACAAUCACUCUGCUCUCAACUAAUUCUCUGAAAGCUACUUCAUUUAACAAUUAAAUAAAUGAGUCAAUAAUGUAUACAGUAUGGAUAAAAAUGCUGAAUCAAAUUCAUCCCAUCAACUAACGCUAUGUCCUUUUGUGCUUGUUCAGGGCUUAAAGAGUUGUGCUUGCUAAAAAUACUGUACUAAGAGUCAGUAGAAGGAAUAAAAGCUUUGUAUUAGC
rnacentral:lncRNA from 7 species